rnacentral:rRNA from 1 species
UACAGAGGUCCCAAGCGUUGUUCGGAUUCACUGGGCGUAAAGGGUGCGUAGGUGGUGAGGUAAGUCGGAUGUGAAAUCUCCGAGCUCAACUCGGAAAUGGCAUUGGAAACUACCUUGCUUGAGGGUUGGAGGGGGGACUGGAAUACUUGGUGUAGCAGUGAAAUGCGUAGAUAUCAAGUGGAACACCAGUGGCGAAGGCGAGUCUCUGGACAUUUCCUGACGCUGAGGCACGAAAGCCAGGGGAGCAAACGGG